UACGAACUGUGCAAACGUUAUUCGGAAUCACUGGGCUUAAAGGGUGCGUAGGCGGCUUAUCAAGUAGGGUGUGAAAGCCCCCGGCUUAACCGGGGAAUUGCGCCCUAAACUGACGAGCUAGAGUGGGACAGGGGUGUGUGGAACUUCCGGUGGAGCGGUGAAAUGUGUUGAUAUCGGAAGGAACGCCGGUGGCGAAAGCGACACACUGGGUCUCAACUGACGCUGAGGCACGAAAGCCAGGGGAGCGAACGGG
rnacentral:rRNA from 1 species